rnacentral:rRNA from 1 species
GACGUAGGGCGCGAGCGUUGUCCGGAUUUAUUGGGCGUAAAGAGCUCGUAGGCGGCUUGUCGCGUCGACUGUGAAAACCCAUGGCUCAACCAUGCGGUCUGCAGUCGAUACGGGCAGGCUAGAAUUCGGUAGGGGAGACUGGAAUUCCUGGUGUAGCGGUGAAAUGCGCAGAUAUCAGGAGGAACACCCGGUGGCGAAGGGCGGGGUCUCUGGGGCC